UAGACUCACCCCUUCCAUUCUUGCCACAGAUUCUAUGGAAGUGAAACCCAUCAUGACCAGAAAAUUGCGGAGGCGACCAAACGAUCCUGUCCCCAUUCCAGACAAGAGGAGAAAACCGGCUCCUGCUCAGCUGAACUACUUGCUAACAGACGAGCAGAUCAUGGAGGACCUGAGGACGCUGAACAAGGUAGGGUGGGACGCUUUUGCUGUACUUGAAAGGCUCACGUGUUUUGUGACGUAAGUUCCUGUCACCUGCUAAAGUCACCAUGACAUCUCUGAUGCUUUAUGUUGCUUCUAAGAUGAUUUUCUCUGAGACUUUCUUGUUGUUAUUCUUCCUACAGCUUAAGUCACCCAAGAGACCAGGUGAGUGCCCGAUGACACUGCCAGUCUUUGUACCCUGUCAUUGGAAAAGUGGAGGUGGGGUUUCCAGGAGUGAAUUAUGCUGAGUCGUGAAAAGGGCAGGAAUCAUAAACAUGUCUCUCCCGUGUUGUUUCUUUAAAGCCAGCUGUGCUGUUUGUCUUUUCCUUAGGACUUACUAUAGAGGAGACCUUUGAUUGGCUCUUGAAGGGUUCCCUUCUGAGUGGGUGUCGGGUGGGCCUUAGGUUCAGGACCGUUUUCAGUUCCAGUCAUGCAACCAUGGGGAACUUUGUCUGGAGCUCAGACCCUGCAGUGCUGACUGUGGUGCUCGGGUCCUAGGGAGGCCCAGGCUGUCCUCGUCCUCGUUAGGAGACAAGGCGUAUGUAGCUGUCUGUGGUGCUCGGGUCCUAGGGAGGCCCAGGCUGUCCUCGUCCUCGUUAGGAGACAAGGCGUAUGUACACCCUUGACACGUGCAAGAGGUUUUCAGUGAGCUGUGCUGAUUUGGUAUCCACAUCAACAGUUAGUGUGGUGCUCUGGCAAUGAGGGGUCACCACAUUGUAAAUGUGGAUGCAGUCAGCACCAAUGGCCCCUGUGAAUAGCCACUGGCCCUGUGAAUAGCCAGAGGCCCCUGUGAAUAGCCACUGGCCCUGUGAAUAGCCAGAGGCCCCUGUGAAUAGCCACUGGCCCUGUGAAUAGCCACUGGCCCUGUGAAUAGCCACUGGCCCUGUGAAUAGCCAGAGGCCCCUGUGGCUAGCCACUGCACCCAACCCAGGCAGCACAGUGACUUUGCUUCCAUAUACACCUCAAGGACUUGGCGGUCGGGAUUGUGGCCGCACCGGUGCAUCAGUCCCUGCGUGGCAUUGCUGGGCCCCUUGCUCAGGCCCAGGCUCACUUGUCUGCUUGCCGUCUUGGCAUCUCUAAUUCCUCCAGCUUCCCCAUCCUCUCCUGAACACUUGCCUGCCACACCUGCAGAGUCUCCAGCCCAGAGGUUUGAGGCUCGGAUAGAAGAUGGCAAACUGUACUAUGAUAAGAGAUGGUAAGUUGUGGGGCGGGUGGACUGCUCACAGUGGCCUCUGAAGAGCGGUCUGGAGGGUUGGGGCCGGGCGAGCCUAUGAUGUCUCGGUGUUUUCUCAGCUUACCUCUCUGUAUGUUAGUUUAAUUUCUUUUGCUGGUGCUGGGACUGUGGCCCAGACUCGGAGUCUUGAAUACUGAGUGCAGCUGGUAGCUGCUUGCCUCUGAGGUCACAGAGCAGUGUUUCUCCACAUGUGUCCCCUGGGUCUUUCUGUACCUUGUUGCCAUCUCCACACUAGGGUUUCAGGCUGUCCCCAUCUAACCAUGACAGGAUAUAUGUCCUCCUCCACCCCCUCCUCUGUGUUAAAGGUGACAGGAGAGGAGGAUUUUGUGCUCUAACCAGGCUGGAGGAGGCUCUGCUACCUGAGCCUGGUGGGCGCUCUUCUCAACGCUGCAGGGUCUCAGGGUAGAUGCUUUUCACUUGACCCUUUUCUCAGACGUUCUUGUCACUUUCAAGGUAUUCUAGGAAGUGUGGUUGGGAGAUUAUAUCCUAAAACACUUAGAUGAGCCGUCCUGGUUGCCUGGGACUGAUUGGAAGCUCAUACUUUUAUCCAUUCAACAAACACGGUUAGACAUCCCAGUCCAACACUGUUCAAUGUCUUGGGCAGGCAGGCACCGUACGUGGACAUGGCUAUGCCCUGACUUUCUCUUGGCUGUGUGGAAGGGGUGUGGGUCAGUAGAGAGCUUCUGUCGUUACUGUUUACAACAGCCUUGUGAUAGCUCCUGUCUUAGUGUUUUCAUUUAGCCAGAAGCUGACGACAGGCGGUGGCCCUGCGAAUUGGUGGCAGUCACACGUUACCUGGCAUGUCUAGUCGACUCUCACUGUCCAUGCUGGAACCCAGCACCUCAGGGCCAAAACCAUAGUGCUCAGUUCUCGGCAUCAAACUGCAGCGUGCACAUAAAAACGAAUCCUGGGACUGCAGAGGGGCUGGGGCCGGAGCAAGCUGCCCCUCUGGCCUCCACAAUUGCCGUGGCUUGUCCUCCCCCCACCCCACACUCCAUCUUUCUUAUAUCAACUGCGGUACAGAUGUUGUGUAAAUAUGCUCUGUUUAAUAGUUAAUCUGUUAAUAGUUAAUAGAUUAAUAAUUUUAAUCCCAGUAUUGAUGUCACUUUGACACAUGAGGCUUAUUUUCUGAGGCUUAUGUUAAUACAGAUAUUUUUUCCCUGUUGGCCAAAUCUGGGAUGUGGAUCCUUCCAUGCAGACUGUUCCAUUGGAAGCAUAGAGAUCAAGUCGGGCCUGAACCUGUUUUAGUGUCUGUCAGCCUGCUGCAGUGACUGGUGGCUCUUUUCUGGUCUUCCUGUGGGUCAAUGGGUGUUCCUGUCUUGGCCUUGCUUGUUGUUUGUUACUGGCACCACUAGGUGGCAGCCCCUAGCUGCCUAACACUAGAGGCAAAGUGAGAAUUUUUUUUUUUUUUUAAUGUUUGUAAUAAUGAAAACCAAAUAACCUUUAAAGAUCAGGCCCACAUGUAAGAAUGGCCUUUGGGAACGGCGAGAUUUAUGGCUAAUGGUUCUAUGGAUCUGUGAGUUUUCCAGCCAGUGUGAUAUUUCAGGUGGCGUUCAUUUCGUAACUGUGGCCUCCACUCUCCGUCUUCCUGGACUUGUUCCUAAAUUAUGAAAUGUCUUGAGAAGGAAAAUGUAGUAAAAUUUUCCUUUCCUUUUCCUUUUCCUAUUCCUCUUCCUCUUCCUCUUCCUUUUCCUUCCUCUCUCCCUCCCUUUUUUU
rnacentral:lncRNA from 1 species